AUAUAUGGCUCAGUGGUAGAGUGCUUGCCUAGCUCGUGUGAGGCCCUGGGUUCAAUUCUCAGCACCACAUAUA
rnacentral:tRNA from 1 species